rnacentral:rRNA from 1 species
UACGUAGGGGGCGAGCGUUGUCCGGAAUUAUUGGGCGUAAAGGGUACGUAGGCGGUUUAGAAAGUCAGGUGUUAAAGCGUGAGGCUCAACCUCAUAAAGCAUUUGAAACUUCUAGACUUGAGUAGUGGAGAGGAAAGUGGAAUUCCUAGUGUAGCGGUGAAAUGCUUAGAUAUUAGGAGGAAUACCAGUGGCGAAGGCGACUUGCUGGAAUCUAACUGACGCUGAGGUAUGAAAGCGUGGGGAGCAAACAGG